UACGUAAAUGUUAUUUGAGUAUUUCCUUUCUUUUAGCCUUGGACUCGGCGAGUCAUAGGUCCGACUCGCCGAGUGGAUGCGGGACCCGGGACACGUUUAAGUUGGUGACUCGGCGAGUCCAUAUCCUGGACUCGGCGAGUCACAGCUGUUGGAUGAAACCCUAAGUUUCAGGGGUUUGCACCCUAUUUAAAGGACUUAUCAGCCCCAAGCCGGCCCCCAUUGACCCUUAAAGCCCUGUAUCUCUCGUUCUAAGCUAUUCUUUGAGAGUUUGAGGUUAGUGUGUGUGUUUUUGAAGGCUUUGAAAGAGGAAGGAAGUAGAUCCAGAAGAAGGGAAGCCAUCCAAGCGUUAUUUGUGUUCUUCCAGCAGUUCCUUUGAGGUAUAACCCGUUUUCCCCUUGAUUCUAUGCUUAAAACUUCAUUUGGGUCCUUCUUGAUCAAAUCCCCAAGCUUGCAUGUGCCUUGUAUGUUGUAAUAAGGCGUUUGGCCUUUGGAUCUAGGCAAGAUUGAGCUCCAGGGGCUCAGAUCUGUUAGCUUUUUGGCCCCAUGUUGCUUGUUAGCCCUAGAUCUACCCUUUUGAGACAUUUUUAGCCCUAAAAUCCAUAUUGGUGAAUAUCCACACGUAAAGUUGGAAACUUUACGUGUGAUUCGUGUCCUAGAAGUCCAGAUCUAUGAAUGGCAUGGACUGGAAUCGAGCAAAUCCGUGUAUUCAGUAGGUGCAUGGCAACGACUCGGCGAGUCGUUCAUAUGACUCGGCGAGUCUAUUCGCGAGUCUCCGAGUUUGUCCCCUUUUCGUAGUGUCGAGUGAGCAGUGAGUCACAGGGUGUGACUCAGUGAGUCGGAAGCUUAACUCAUCUAUGGAGGUACUCGGCGAGUCAAUGCCCUGACUCGGCGAGUUCAAGGCAAUCUCCUUAGAUCAAGAACAGACUCGACGAGUUGUUCAUACAACUCGGCGAGUCUUCGCAUAAGUGUUCAUCGGAUGAAGAUGAACUCGGCGAGUUGUUCAUACAACUCGGCGAGUAGGAUGAAGGACUUGAAUAUUGGUUAAGAAGGUGAACCCGUCGAGUCGUCGCCUAACUCGACGAGUAGGACCAGGAUUCAGGGCAGUCGUUUGCGUAGGGACUCGGCGAGUUGGAAAGCCAACUCGGCGAGUCGAGGUCAACUGAAAGUUGACUCUGACUUUGACUUAGGGCAAGGUCAGGGGUAAAAUGGUCAUUUUACCCAAAGGUCAGUGAGCAGUGUUUGAUUGAGUAUAUUGUGGGAAUUGCAGCCGGAGGGUUUCCGGAGCAGCAGCAGCAGUAGUAGGUGAUCAAUUCCCACACAGACCAGCAGCUAUUUCGAGGUGAGUUUCCUUUCCAGUAGGAACGGGUCUAAGGCACCAAGGCCGACCCGUGUAGACGAGAUGCUAGUACUAGAGUGUGGGCCGAGCCCGUAUCUCUGGGUUUAGUCAAGUAUGAUAUAUGUGUUAAUAUGAUAGAAUUGCUUAUACUUGUUGUCUGCGUGAUACUUGUAUGUUAUGGGUUAGCGGUUGAGUGUGGGCAGGGCCCGUAUCUCUCCGAGGUUGGAGUGUGGGCUAGGCCCGUAUCUCCCAGAUAGCGAAGUGUGGGCAGGGCCCGUAUCUUCACAAGUGUGGGCGAGGCCCGUAUCUCCCGGCUAGCGAAGUGUGGGCAGGGCCCGUAUCUUCCCGAGUGUGGGCAAGGCCCGUAACUCCUAGCUGAACAAUGGUUGUUAUAUGUUGCAUGGUAUGUGGUAUUAUGGGGGAACUCACUAAGCUUUGUGCUUACAGUUUUCAGUUUUGGUUUCAGGUACCUCCUCAGCUAGGGGAAAGGAGUCGGCGCGGUAGCGACACGUCACACACACACUCUCCGGUUUCCGCAUUUACGAGCUUCACUGGGAUUUGUACUCUGAUAUUUUGAUCGAAUGUAUGAAUUGGCUUUUAGACAUGGUUCACU
rnacentral:lncRNA from 1 species